rnacentral:misc_RNA from 1 species
AAAUGGGUUAAAAAAAAAGAGGAGCAGAGGGACAGCCAAAAUCACAGGCAAAAUGAUGUUCUGUAUACUGCUGCUGAAUCACCAUCCUGAAUUGAAAUUGUAUGAUCUGAUUUGAGAUCAUAGCAACCACAGAUCAGGGGCUGAAACAUCUGGUUAGGAAUUUGUUGUAACAGCAGCUUCUUUUGGUGCAAGUACAUAUAAUGUUGUUUUUUUACAUUGCCAUAGAAAGUUAACUGGUUAUUCAAUUCCCUUAAUUGGUUUGGAAAUAGGAUAUACAUUUAUUAUU